CCUACGGGCGGCAGCAGUGAGGAAUCUUUCUCAAUGGGGGAAACCCUGAAGCAGCAACGCCGCGUGUAGGAUGAAGGUUUUCGGAUUGUAAACUCCUUUUGUUAGAGAAGAUAAUGACGGUAUCUAACGAAUAAGCACCGGCUAACUCCGUGCCAGCAGCCGCGGUAAUACGGAGGGUGCAAGCGUUACUCGGAAUCACUGGGCGUAAAGAGCGCGUAGGCGGGAUAGCAAGUCAGAUGUGAAAUCCUAUGGGUUAACCAUAGCACUGCAUUUGAAACUGUUAUUCUAGAGUAUGGGAGAGGUAGGUGGAAUUCCUGGUGUAGGGGUAAAAUCCGUAGAGAUCAAGAGGAAUACUCAUAGCGAAGGCGACCUACUGGAACAUAACUGACGCUGAUGCGCGAAAGCGUAGGGAGCAAACAGGAUUAGAUACCCGUGUAGUC
rnacentral:rRNA from 1 species